UUGUCCCCCUCGGCCGCGUCGGGUCCUGCUCCCGUGGUGUCCGUCGUCAUGGAAACCACCUGCAAGAUUCAUACCGCAGCGGUCCGCCCGCUCAUCCGAGCCGCCCGGUCACGGAAAGGCGCCGAACGUCACAACCGCUCGGCGAGAGGAGUGUCUUGUCUGCACUCACCUGGGACGGGCUUUUCUUCUUCUUUGGCGGUCCCGAGAAGAGCGGGCCCAGCCUGGAACAAAGACGGAGCACGCUAAGACGACGACGCCGAUCACGUCGCGGGUGAGCUGAAGCCGCGGCAGCGCCCGAAGGGUCGAAAGCGAGUCGCCCUUGCUUGGCAUCCAUCGGGAGCUCUCGACGCGCGAGGGCGGCGGAGGGGGCGUGGCCGGGAGCAAAUUGCAAUUUCAAUCGGCGGCGUCUUCGCGUGUCCCUCGACGCCGUUUUCAAGCACAUCGGCCGUCGGGAGCAAUGACGACAGAAGGCGGUUUUUCAAAUUUUUUUUUUGCGUUGUCGUUGGACGUCACCUUUUUCCCAUGACGGUGGCGCUCGUGGCCAUGCCCGCCCUGACGUGGCCGCGCGCCUGCUUGCAGCGGCGUC